UACGUAGGGGGCAAGCGUUGUCCGGAUUUAUUGGGCGUAAAGAGCGUGUAGGCGGCUUUACAGGUCCGUUGUGAAAACUCGAGGCUCAACCUCGAGACGCCGGUGGAAACCGUAAAGCUAGAGUCCGGAAGAGGAGAGUGGAAUUCCUGGUGUAGCGGUGAAAUGCGCAGAUAUCAGGAGGAACACCAAUUGCGAAGGCAGCUCGCUGGGACGUUACUGACGCUGAGGCGCGAAAGCUAGGGGAGCGAACAGG
rnacentral:rRNA from 1 species